ensembl:snoRNA U3 Small nucleolar RNA U3
AAGACUAUAAUUUCAGGGAUCAUUUCUAUAGUUUUCUACCUUGAGAAAUGUGUUCUAAGUGUUUGGUCUUGCCAACAUGAUGAUGAGUCGUGAUAUUUCCUCUGAGCAUGAAAGCUGAGCAGAGCAAUAAUUCGUUUCAUAGUUCUCUGUCAUGAUGAUUGUUUCUUUACUCUCUUUGUGGUUCUUGAGGAAGGGAAUAUGAUCAGAGUGGU